rnacentral:lncRNA from 1 species
CACCUAUUGUAUUCACCACCACAUUCCCUCUGUCCUUGGUGGUUCACCAUCUCUAAAGAGUUGACUCUAGGUCAACUUCCGUGUGUGGAACUUAUUAUCUACUUACUGCAGAAGGCAGAGAGUGAGCUGGUGACUCUGUGGUGGUUGGCUGCCUACAAGGGUCAAAUCACAACAAUCCUUUUGACAUGAGAAAGAGCCCUGCCUCUGAAUCAAGGAGACAAGAAAGUCCUGCUGAGUCUUUGUAUCAAGAUGGUUUCUGAUCUUCUAUUCCUUCCAGGAUCUCAACCUUCUGCCCUGGUCCCUAGUAUUUGGAUGGAGGAAUGUCUAAUCUUAAGGUAAUUCAUUUUGCUUGCACACCUUACAUGUAGUAUUACCAAGGACAUUAGCACAUUCCCACUUAUUUUUCCUUCCAUGUUACCAGACAGAGCACCAGGGCACAUAUCCUGGCAGUUUAAAUGAG